UAGCGUAGGGUCCGAGCGUUAAUCGGAAUUACUGGGCGUAAAGCGUGCGCAGGCGGUCUUGUAAGCCAGAUGUGAAAAGCCCCCGGGGCUCAACCUGGGGAACUGCAUUUGGGGACUGCAAGGCUGGAGUACGGGCAGAGGGAGGUGGAAUUCCACGUGUAGCAGUGAAAUGCGUAGAGAUGUGGAGGAACACCGAUGGCGAAGGCGGCUCACUGGUCCGGUACUGACGCUGAGGUGCGAAAGCGUGGGGAGCAAACAGG
rnacentral:rRNA from 1 species